AUUGAACGCUGGCGGCAGGCCUAACACAUGCAAGUCGAGCGAGCGGCGGACGGGUGAGUAAUGUAUGGGGAUCUGCCCGAUAGAGGGGGAUAACUACUGGAAAGACUGCUAAUACCGCAUACUGAAGGAGGGGAUUGCGUCUGAUUAGCUAGUUGGUGAGGUAACGGCUCACCAAGGCGACGAUCCGUAGCUGGUUUGAGAGGACGACCAGCCACACUGGGACUGAGACACGGCCCAGACUCCUACGGGAGGCAGCAGUGGGGAAUUUUGGACAAUGGGGGCAACCCUGAUCCAGCCAUCCCGCGUGUGCGAUGAAGGCCUUCGGGUUGUAAAGCACUUUUGGCAGGAAAGCGGUACCUGCAGAAUAAGCACCGGCUAACUACGUGCCAGCCGCCGCGGUAAUUC
rnacentral:rRNA from 1 species